rnacentral:rRNA from 1 species
UGGGGAAUAUUGGACAAUGGGCGCAAGCCUGAUCCAGCCAUACCGCGUGGGUGAAGAAGGCCUUCGGGUUGUAAAGCCCUUUUGUUGGGAAAGAAAUCCAGCUGGCUAAUACCCGGUUGGGAUGACGGUACCCAAAGAAUAAGCACCGGCUAACUUCGUGCCAGCAGCCGCGGUAAUACGAAGGGUGCAAGCGUUACUCGGAAUUACUGGGCGUAAAGCGUGCGUAGGUGGUCGUUUAAGUCCGUUGUGAAAGCCCUGGGCUCAAACCUGGGAAACUGCAGUGGAUACUGGGCGACUAGAGUGUGGUAGAGGGUAGCGGAAUUCCUGGUGUAGCAGUGAAAUGCGUAGAGAUCAGGAGGAACAUCCAUGGCGAAAGGCAGCUACCUGGACCAACACUGACACUGAGGCACGAAAGCGUGGGGAGCAAAACAGGAUUAGAUACCCUGGUAGUCCACGCCCUAAAACGAUGCGAACUGGAUGUUGGGUGCAAUUUGGCACGCAGUAUCGAAGCUAACGCGUUAAGUUCGCCGCCUGGGAGUACGGUCGCAAGACUG